UACGUAGGGUGCAAGCGUUGUCCGGAAUUAUUGGCGUAAAGAGCUCGUAGGCGGUUUGUUGCGUCGGCUGUGAAAUCCCGAGGCUCAACCUCGGGUCUGCAGUCGAUACGAGCAAACUAGAGUGUUGCAGGGGAGACUGGAAUUCCUGGUGUAGCGGUGAAAUGCGCAGAUAUCAGGAGGAACACCGGUGGCGAAGGCGGGUCUCUGGGCAACAACUGACGCUGGAGGAGCGAAGGCGUGGGAGCGAACAGG
rnacentral:rRNA from 1 species